CAAAGUUGAAAUCAAGAAACUCAGCUCUGCAAUAAAAUAAGGAGUGUCAUCGGGCUAUUCUUGGAUUCUGCCACUUGUUGACAGCAUUUCCAACCGAUCAGAGCUUUCAUUAUUGCUCGUGCUUGGUGGUGGGUUACUAUCUCCUCUGGGGGGUUUUGUGCUGUUUGACUGGAGGCGCAAAGGAGGAGGAGGAGGGGGGAAAAGAGCACAUGAGUCGCUGUCAUUCCACGCAACAUUUGCGGACGAGAGGAAUCCAGUGAGUAGCCUACUUGUUGCGAGCCAUACGGCGGCGGCAGCGUCCCGGAGCUGUCAAAUAUUGCGCACAGGCUUCAGUGUUGAGUCCGUGGAGUAACCAGACUAAUCCAGCAAGACAAACAACUCGGAAGAUGAACCUUUUUUUUAUUUCUGUUUUUUGUUUAGCCUCGCGAAACAAGUUGUCGUCGGCGCACCCGGAAGCCUGCUUUUAAAAUCAUGAUCAUUUCUGUCACAUGGUUUUGGAGAAUUCAAUAACAACAAAAAAUGGCGACAAUCACGUUGCUCUGUGUGGUCUUGCUGCGUCAUUAAAAAUAUUCAUGUAAACACGGGGGAUUAAACGGGGCAAUCGCAGUUGCUGCACAUGUUGCCGUCCACGUCCUCCGUGGACAGUUUUGGCCAGUGCGCCCUAAUGGAGUUGUUUACAUGAAGCGCGGAGGGGCGGACUCGGCCUGGCGAAGGGAGGAGGAGCCGCUAACGUCGGCCAAAGCGACGCGACCGGACUGCUCGAGAGGAGGAGGAGGAGGAGAGAGGAGGGGGAGGAGCCGGCGACCAGAAUCAUAACAAGUCUGACAUCACUCGGCCUUGUGGUUGGUAUGAAUAAUAUACUGUCUCGUCCAAAAGCAGGAAAGAGGUGAGGGAGGGAAAAGAGUGAAAUGAAACCUUUGUACCCGUUAUUGUUUUAUGAGAUGAAAUAUUUACCAGGAUACUGUGUAGCAGCAAGCUAGAGACUUUUUUUUUUUUUUAAAAAGAAAAAAGCUCAACUACAAGCUCAGAGACAUCACAGAUCCACAUCUGUUAGGUCACCGGGUUCGUGUUGCAUGUGCUGCCUUAUGCAUUAUUAACUGGAUUUUCUUUAGACACUGCGAAAGCUCCGUGAAAAAUGAUGUUGAAAAGCAAUGUCAGUGGAUUUCCAUGUGUUUGUCACUCUGUCACAUGCAGCUCCUAUCCUAAAAAGUCUAUUUUUUUUAACUCAUAAUGUGCAACUGAGUCUGUGUCAUGAAGGACAGAAUCAAUAUUUGUAACAGUUUGUCUGUGCAAAUAGCAAAACCUGUCAUACCUCCUACCAGAAUAAUGAUUCUUUGACUGUAAAUGUUGAGGGAUUUAACUGACUGCAACCUCUCACAUAACAGCAUCUUUCUUCUUAGCAGACUGCAUGUUUGUUUCUGCUCUAACCAACUACGAAUAGGCUUUUUUUUAAUCUCUGACUUUGAAACUUAAUUAAAAGGGAAUCAUUUUUGACUGAAAUGUUGUUGUUUUUUUCAAAUGUAAAUCCCAUCUUUAGGAGAUCAUUGGUGUAACGGAUACUUCAGUAACUGAUGUAUUGUUAAAUUGCAUGCCUGUAUCAGUCUGUAAGUGAAUCUGUUGUAGUUGUAGCUUCUGUGUGGUGCAAUAUACGAGAAGCUGGAGAUAUCACAUGAGAUACCACCAGAGGAGCUGCAGGAAUGCAAAAGGAAAACGGUAUCUUACAGCACGGAUAUUAUGGGUGGAUGACAAAUGGAGUGAAGCCACGGACUGCUAGAUUUGACAGGCUGCCCUGGUUCAGUUAUCACAGUGCUGAUGCUGUCCCCAUCGAAGGUACAGUACUGUGAUAACUGAAGGAUGGCUGCCAACUUGACACUAGUGCAGUGAUCAAAGCAGCAGAAGACCAAAGAGCAGGUGGACAAGUGUGAGUAUGUACAUUAAAAAAAGGUGUGAAGAUUAAUAAAAGUUCAACGGGAUAUUUAAAA